rnacentral:rRNA from 1 species
AGGGUUUGAUCAUGGCUCAGAACGUACGCUGGCGGCACGCCUAAUACAUGCAAGUCGAACGAAGUAGCAAUACUUAGUGGCAGACGGGUGAGUAACAUGUAGGUAUCUGCCCUUUGGCCUGGAAUAACACGAGGAAACUUGUGCUAAUACCGGAUAAGUCUUUACGGAGAAAGCUUUAUGCACCAUUGGAUGAGCCUGCACUUGAUUAGUUUGUUGGUGGGGUAAUGGCCUACCAAGACAAUGAUCAAUAGCUGAUUUGAGAGGAUGAUCAGCCACAUUGGGACUGAGACACGGCCCAAACUCCUACGGGAGGCAGCAGUAGGAAAUCUUGCACAAUGGAGGAAACUCUGAUGCAGCGAUGCCGCGUGAGUGAAGAAGGCCUUUGGGUUGUAAAGCUCUUUCGUCGGGGAAGAAAAUGACUGUACCCGAAUAAGAAGGUCCGGCUAACUUCGUGCCAGCAGCCGCGGUAAUACGAAGGGACCUAGCGUAGUUCGGAAUUACUGGGCUUAAAGAGUUCGUAGGUGGUUAAAAAAGUUGGUGGUGAAAUCCCAGAGCUUAACUCUGGAACUGCCAUCAAAACUUUUUAGCUAGAGUAUGAUAGAGGAAAGCAGAAUUUCUAGUGUAGAGGUGAAAUUCGUAGAUAU